rnacentral:rRNA from 1 species
GAACGCUGGCGGCGUGCCUAAUACCUGCAAGUCGAGCGAACGGACGAGAAGCUUGCUUCUCUGAUGUUAGCGGCGGACGGGUGAGUAACACGUGGAUAACCUACCUAUAAGACUGGGAUAACUUCGGGAAACCGGAGCUAAUACCGGAUAAUAUUUUGAACCGCCUGGUUCAAAAGUGAAAGACGGUCUUGCUGUCACUUAUAGAUGGAUCCGCGCUGCAUUAGCUAGUUGGUAAGGUAACGGCUUACCAAGGCAACGAUGCAUAGCCGACCUGAGAGGGUGAUCGGCCACACUGGAACUGAGACACGGUCCAGACUCCUACGGGAGGCAGCAGUAGGGAAUCUUCCGCAAUGGGCGAAAGCCUGACGGAGCAACGCCGCGUGAGUGAUGAAGGUCUUCGGAUCGUAAAACUCUGUUAUUAGGGAAGAACAUAUGUGUAAGUAACUGUGCACAUCUUGACGGUACCUAAUCAGAAAGCCACGGCUAACUACGUG